GAUCCUGGCUCAGGACGAACACUGGCGGCGCGCCUAACACAUGCAAGUCGAACGAGAGAUGAAGAGCUUGCUCUUCAAAUCGAGUGGCGAACGGGUGAGUAACGCGUGAGGAACCUGCCUCAAAGAGGGGGACAACAGUUGGAAACGACUGCUAAUACCGCAUAAGCCCACGGCUCGGCAUCGAGCAGAGGGAAAAGGAGCAAUCCGCUUUGAGAUGGCCUCGCGUCCGAUUAG
rnacentral:rRNA from 1 species